UCGCAACUGAAUUUCAAUAGUAUGCCCUCAUCGUUUCUACUUCAUUUUAUAUUACAAGAACUAAGGAGUAACAUAACAAGAGAAACAUUUCCAGAGAGACAGAGACAGAGACGGAAGUCAAGAGCAGCCAGCCAAAGCACACUGACUGAGUCAUCCAGUAUUUCCCAUAAUGAAGCAAGUGACGCAUCCAUAUCAGCCAAGGCAAAGAGACUCAUGCAAAAUUCACUUCCUAAGAAAAUGCUAUUUCCACAAGUCUGGGUGCUAUGGAGCACUCAACAAAGGAAGAGGCUUGAAAAGGAGGCAUAUGUGCACACACACCACAACCCAGAAUGUCUACUUAGAACAGCCCCAAAGACCAAGGUUGAA